AUUGAACGCUGGCGGCAGGCUUAACACAUGCAAGUCGAGCGGGGUGAUGGUGCUUGCACUAUCACUUAGCGGCGGACGGGUGAGUAAUGCUUAGGAAUCUGCCUAUUAGUGGGGGACAACAUCUCGAAAGGGAUGCUAAUACCGCAUACGUCCUACGGGAGAAAGCAGGGGAUCACUUGUGACCUUGCGCUAAUAGAUGAGCCUAAGUCGGAUUAGCUAGUUGGUGGGGUAAAGGCCUACCAAGGCGACGAUCUGUAGCGGGUCUGAGAGGAUGAUCCGCCACACUGGGACUGAGACACGGCCCAGACUCCCACGGGAGGCAGCAGUGGGGAAUAUUGGACAAUGGGGGGAACCCUGAUCCAGCCAUGCCGCGUGUGUGAAGAAGGCCUUAUGGUUGUAAAGCACUUUAAGCGAGGAGGAGGCUCUUUUGGUUAAUACCCAAGAUGAGUGGACGUUACUCGCAGAAUAAGCACCGGCUAACUCUGUGCCAGCCGCCGCGGUAAUAC
rnacentral:rRNA from 1 species